CCUACUAUCAGUUUCUUCUAGAAGCUGACCAGCCAGGAUGGUAGGGCAGUGGAGGCAGCUGGAGGGAUGGGUGGGCUGUGGGCCCCCUCUUAGCUCUCUCUAAGGUCCCUACUCCUAUGUGUCCCCUUCUCACACACUUAAGAACAGAAGAAAUACAGACUCUGCCCUGGCUGUGACCAUAAUAUGGGGUUAAUAAAGAAAGGUGACAUGGUCUUAGGAACAAUAUGCUGUGGGAUGUGAGCCCUAGCAGUUGGCAUCCCAACCUCCGGGGAGGCAGUCGUACCGGGAAGGGGACAUAGUUUUGAGCUUUGAAAGUAAAGGAGGACCAAGAGGGUCAGGACACUGGGCAAUGGGGAAUGGCCUGUCAUAACCAGCCAAGUGGGUGGCACAGGAGAGCUCAUUCAGGCCCCACAUUGAAAGCGAGCAUGGGAAAUCUGGCAAGGUCUUUGCCAAAGGCUGGUGCAUGGCUGGUCCAGCCCACAGUGUGGCUGAUGCAACAGAGAUGGGGAUUUCAAGGAUAAAGAACAGAGUGAAGUUCUCGUCUUAGCCCUCUCGGAUGGAAAUCUCUGCCCUGGAGGUGACUUGCCCGGAGCAGCAGCUAGCAGUGGAUCCAGCUUUGAUGGCCACGAGGCCAGGGCUUUCCCCCUCAGACCCUCUGGAGGGCAUCUCGAAUACCAAAUGAAGGGCCCACACCUGCUACGUACCCCGCUUGCUGAGAAGGGAGCCCAGGAUCCGUUCUGCUGUUAUUGUGACUCUCCACUCCAAAGCAGAUAGACCCAAGGCCAGAUGCCCGAGUGACCGGACAAUGUAGGGUUCUCGUGUCAUCCUGACCCAGCAGAAGAGUGGUCACCUGCUCCAUGAUGUGGGCACAAGGACAGCCACCUCAUUAGUGAUGGCAGGGCUGGGGAGACACAUAGUGAGAGCUCCUCAAAGGAGAUCCCAAGAUCGCCUAGCCUUGAAACGCUGAGCAGGGAACACAGUCUCCAGAGGUGAGUCUCCAGAACACAGAAACUGGCUCUUAGCAGCGAAGAGGACCACGUUGCCUGGGACUUAACUGUUCUUUGCACUGCAUGCUGUGCCCUUAAGGGGAUGGGAGGAUGGGAUGUGGGGGAGUUCACUCAGCAGCUAUGUGCACGCAUGCGGAUUUGUGUGGGAGGCACCCGUUCCCCACCUAGUGUACCCUACCUGUUUGCACACACAGUGUGUUCAUGUACUCGGACUGUGUCACAGGUAGCUGCCAAAUCCCUGGUCCCCAUGUCUCCAGCUGGUCACCCCAUCCAUUCCAGGAGUCAGAGCUGCAGGACUGAGGUCGAUAAGGACUGGCUGUCUUGUUUACAUUAGACUCUCCUUUUCCCCAGUCAAUACGUCCUUGGACGAUGCGUAUACCAUCCUCUCUAAGCCUUGUGUCUACAAGAGGGGUUCAGGGCCACAGUCCUAAAUACCUAGGAGGAGCCUAGGGAAAGCACACUGUUGUUUGUAUCUCUGUGGCUGCCACACCAGACCCCAGACCUUGCACGGAAAGGAGAGCUAAAGGCCACAGCCAUUCAUCACCAUAAAUGUGGUGGGCAAGGUUCUAACUCAGCCGCCUGGAGCACAGAGGUGAGCAAGGUUGGAGUGCGGUACCACGGCCCCCACACAGCCCCCCAGACUCCGUAAAGCUUCCCUCUAACCUGAGGAUGAAUCCCCACUUGGAACACACACGUGGUCGGGCCUGGUGGGGUAGAGCACCUACAGUUCUCCAGAAUCAUGGGGCUGGCCCCAAAGGCCACCCACCCACUGCAGGGACUGGCAACCAUGCAGGGCAAGGUAAACUACCCAAGAUUGCUCUCUGGAAUGUGGUGGCUGGGAAAGGUAACACGCAUAUUACUGCUAUGUAAACACAGUUAAACUAUUUACAAGACAGGCUUAGGCCUGGGGGCCCCAGGAAGCCCCUGCCAUGUGGGGUGUGGGACCUACCCCUCUUCCAAAGCUCUGCUGGCCACGAUGGUGAAGAAGAUGAUCCUUGGCCUUUUCUGGAAGCCACCCCACCCAGGUCCCCUUAUGGGCCGUUCAUUGGCCCAUCGCACUGUCUGUUCACAGACUAGGGCUGGGGACAAAGGUGUUUAAUAUAGAAAAGAAGUUUACUUGCAGAAGCUUGCCGUUCUAUAGGCUCAAAACACCUGAUUGGCUUUUGUGAGGGCGGCAUGGUAUAUGGUAUCCUGUUGACAUGCACUGAAGUGUGUAGAAGAGAUUAUACAGAAGUCAGAGAGACUCAGGGACCAGGCUAGCUCUUUCCAACAGCCUCUUCUCGGUGUGCACUUACUUGCUCCUUGAGACCAGCAUCAAACUGCUCGUUUUGGAGCAGUUUGCAGAAGAUGCUUUGCAAGUAAGUGCUCUGCCCCACAUUCCAAGGAGGCCUUGGGAGAGAUCUCCAUGUAGAAUGCAAAGCAAUAAACGGAGGCAGAAGCCCCGUGCUUCCCUGAGGAGCCCCUCGGGGGCUGUGUUUAGGACUGUGGCCCUGAACCCCUCUUCUAGAGGGGAGAGCCAGUCCCCUGCCCAGAGCCUCAGGUCUAAAGGGGACAAUUUUUGCCUAAGCUCAUGUCUCACCACACCCAAUCUAAGAAGCAAGGCUAGUCUUGAAGGCUCCAACAUCCAGCCCACUUUUUCUUGGGGUGACCGGACCAGAAAGUUCAAGACUAGACAUGAGCUGCCCUGAAGAGCAAAGGCCCCAAGGAUGGUUGAGCUGUGCCUGCAACUGCAGAUUCAUAACCAGGGCUGGACCCUUCUCUGUGCCCAGGACAGAUGUCAUGCUUAUCCUCUGCCUUCUCCUGGAAGUUAUCCCCUACUGGCUAAAUUCGAAAAGCUCGCCAGCUUCCCAAAGAGGUCGAAGCUGAUACAUGCUAGAGGGAUUGCUUAUGACUGAGUGAAGAUGCUACUGUUCUCUUCCCAGCCCUUCCAGGCUCUGUCUGCCUGGCUGCCCCUCCUCCAGCCUCCCGGAUUUGCUUCUGCACACGCUGGGGUCAUCCUGAGCACCGUACCCAAGCCUUUUUGAGAAGCACUGCCCACAAGACCUCCCUUUCCCUCCCAGAACCCCUGCCAGCCCAGAGUGGUUACUCUGACUGACUUAUGAUGUUCCCAGAUACUUAGUCGAUGGUCUUCUCUGAAGACCUUGCUCCUAGUUUGGUGGCCCACAAAUAUUUCCUCUAACUUCCCACUACUGGGAAGUGGGAAUUUUGGCUCUCCUACUCUGGUUAGGAAACUGAGAUUGGGGGCGAGAAUAGGUUAGCUCCCGGGGUCAGAUGGCUUGCGGUAUGGCAGGACAUUCUGAUAUCCAUGUUCUGAUUACUGCACUGCUCUGCCCAUGUGACCAUGGACACUGAGGAACAAGGUGUGUCCUCCAUCGUGCUGGGUUAGGAAAGGGUCCGAUUCAGUUCAAAGGAACCAUUUAUUACAUCGAUUGAUUUUGUGAGCUCAUGUGCACCACAUGCAUGCAAGUGCCCUUUUGGCCAGUAGAGGGCGCUGGAUUCCCUGGAACUGGAGUUACAAGUGGCUUAAACUGCCUGCUGUGGGUGCUGGGAACUGAACCUGGGUCCUCUGUCAGAGCGGUAUGUCUUCUUAAAUGCCAAACUGUCUCUCCAGCCCUGGCAUAAGCCUUCAGAUCAGUUCAGUAAACACAUAGAAAUACAACUGGGGACCCUAUAAGAUCCCCAUAGUUAGCAUUGUAGGAGACAGCCAGGUGGUCUCCCCAGGUGGCUGGAGCAGUUCUCAUCCUUCUGGCAAUGAUGGGGAAAAGAUUUUAUUUUUGUUUUUGUUGUUGUUUGUUUGUUUCUGGGACAGGAUCUUACUAUGUACCCCUAGCUGGCCUGAAAUUUGCUAUAUAAUUCAGGUUGGCCUUGAACUCAGAGACACCCUCCUGCCUCUGCCUCCUGAAUGCUGGAAUUAGGAGCUACCACACCUGUCUACACAUUUUGGUGAGUUUGUUUUUGUUUUGUCUUUGCAUUUAUUUAUUUAUUUUUUAUUUAUUGUGUGUGCACGUGUAUGUGUACGUGUGUGUGUGUGUGUGUGUUGUGGGGGAAGGGUAGGUGCAUACAUGUGGUGUGGUGCACACGUGAAGGUCAGAAGAUGAUUUUGGGGAUUGGUUCUUCUGCGACGUGGGUCCCAGGCAUUGAAUUCAGGCCAUUACAUUAGUCUUGAUGACAGGCGUCUUUAUCCACUGGACUACCUUGUAGGCCCAGAGAGGGAGGAUUUACAUAAACUAAUACCUAAGGAGCCCUAUCAUGGCCCUGGUCGCUGUGUGGAGAUGAUCUCACACACCCCUUGCCUGUUCCCAAGGUGGUCCUCAUCUCUGAUGAGCUGCCUGCUCUCGGUACUCCCUAGCGGGGUGACCGACAACUUCACCUUCUGAGCCAAGCCAAACCCUCCAAAAGCCCUCUAGGCCCCUUCCCAUAUGUCCCCAGGGUUGUCACGGUCCAGGAGGUAGCUGCCAGUUUAAGUCGGAGACAGGUAAUCUGGAUCCCUGCCUGGGUGUUCAGAAGAUACACCCCCUAGUGUCCAACAGGCUUCUUCCAGGGCGGUGGGCUGGCUCCUUUACAGUGGCUGCUGUACUAUGCUCCUGGGACUAGAAACCAACACCUUGACCUCAUUAGCACAAUGUUCUAGUCAGCGGUCUUAGGGAGAUGUGAUGAUGUUAAUUAUGUGCUGAUUUAUUUAAUUCCUGCUCUUGUAAAAAGAGUACCGUUUGCCUUCCUUCCCUUCCCCCGGGGCUUCUAAAUUCCUGGGGGCAUGGCAGGGGGUGGAGCUGCGGCAGUGAGGAAAGUGGACUGGACUCAGAGGUCACACAAACCCAGAGUCAUUUGCUAGCUCCAGUGACCCUGAGUAACCUCCUUGAGCCCGGGAUUGGGUAAGGAUUAUGAGUUUGGCACCGGGCCUGCCCUGGAGGAAGCUCUCAGUAGAUCACAGCCUCUGUUAUCAAUGAUUGUUAAUUAUUAUUUUAGUCUAUCGACUGAAGGAUCAUCUCUUUUGCUCCAUGUCUGCACUGAACAGGCAUCAGCAGAGAGGAAUCCAGCAGAAUUUCCUGCAAUGUUCAGCAUCUGCCCUGUUCAAUUUGCUCCAGUGCUUUGAGCAGCUGAGGUGCUGAAUGGCCGCCAUAUGCCAAACAGAUCCAGAAAGAGUCACCUGCAUCCUGUGGAGACUGGACCAUGAGUGCAGAUGCACAGGCCAAGAGCUUAGGGUCCUGGCUAGGCGGUCCGGUUAGGAAGUAUUGAAGCAAUGUUAGCAGCCACCCAGUGAGAAAAGUUACUGAAAUACACGAAAUCCUCCUGCCUCAGCCUCCAGAAUAGCUGGGAAUAUAAGUCAGUGCCUCUGGAUAACAGGCCUGUGUGUCUGCUCCAUUCUGAAUAUCUCCUGAGCUCAGGAAAAAGGAGUCCUUUCCACCACGUGAGGACCAUGAGAAUAGUGAGACACGUCUCAUCUGGUUAUACAGAACGCCCCUGGGAGAGGCAGCCAGGAGCACACACAAGAGAGGUUUGCUGAGCAUCUGAUGGUGGGGUGUGACCUUUCUCCAUUCCAGUUGCUCUGAACAGGGAGUUGUAAAAGACUCUAUCCUCUCUGAACACUGUUUCCAUGGACUCAUCUGCCAGGCUCGGGCUAAUAGCUGGAGGUGGCAGGGCAGUACAGGAAAGCGACGAGCUUCUAAGAAACGGUUGAGCUGGAUACAAAGCCAGGGCCCAAAGCUAGGUCUUUGGAAUUCCCCCUUUCUGUCCAGCAGCUGGGAAACCAGUUCCUCCAUUUCAGAGAACUGGUGCAAGCUUGUAUCCUUUGCUUCUUUUGCAGCAAAAGCCUGAGCAGCUGUGGGUGGAGGUUUCCCAACUCCAAGACUCCUUGGUGUCCCCAGAGGCAUAACCUCAAAUUCCUCUCAAAGAACGAGAAGUCAAUGAUCCUCUGAGAGUCCCCAAAGCCCUUGCCUUCAUCUUGGCUCACUACCUCCUGGCUUCUCGUAGGACAGGGCAGGGUUAAGGAGCCUCUAUGAAUUGUGUCUUUGUAGAGCAGUGGUUCUCAAUGCUGCGGCCCUUUAAUUGGGUUUCUCACGUGUGGUGCCCCCCAAUCGUCUACUUCGUAACUGUCAUUUGCCACUGAUAUGAAUCAUAAUGUAAAUCUCUGACAUACAGGAUAUCUGAUGUGACCCCAAUGGAGCCUUGACCCACAGGUUGAGAACCACUGUCUUAGUCACCUGACCCACUGUGGGAGACUCUUGUUUCUGUAGCCAGGAGCAACAAAACACCAACGAGAGCCAAGGAGAAAACCGACCAUCCCAUGUGUGUAACAUCUGGGCAUGGGGCAUGAAGGGUGGGGAUCAUCUUAGCAUUCCUUUUUCUGUAAGAGAUGGCAAGAAAUGUAAGGCCACAAUUCAAGAAGGACUUCUGCCUGGUGAGAGACUUGAGAUAGCGUCCUGUUGCAUUCAAGGCGGGGAUCAGGCGGACCAUGAGAUACUCCAACAGAGUGGUGUUGAGGGAAAUGUGGAAUUUAGACACAAGACGCACAGUAUGUUUCUCAGUUGGAUUUGGGGUGACGGGGUACAGUGAGUGGUGAAGUCGAGAUGUGGCCACCCCAGUAACAGGUCCAGACUCAGGCUCACUGCUUCUGCUCCGUCCACACUGCUCUCUACUGUAGACCACCUCACUGUAGAGACAAUGAGACACUAGGAUUCCUCCCAGAGGUCAGCACUGACAGGCCCCUAUGUCUUUGUAUAGGGAAACUUUCCCUAAUCCCAUGAAGGCCCUGGGGGGGGGGGGCUUUUAGAUUGGCUUCCACAGCAGGACUUCAGCUUUUGAAAGACUGAAGCUUCAGGACGGCCUACCCAACUAUCCAGUUCUGGGUCCAGGGAGGAAUGAGAUCACCUGAGGCUAAGAUAGACCUCGGGUCAGCAGGUGAGGAUGUUGACUCUGGGAUCCAUGGCCUCCUGCCCCACCCCCACCAUGUUACUUGCUUAUCUCAGUACUGUGACAAAGACCUAACAAACAACUUAAGAAAGGAAGGGGUUAUCUCAGCUCAUUGCUUUGUUAUUACUUAUUUAUUUAGUGUGUGUGUGUGUGUGUGUGUGUGUGUGUGUGUGUGUGAAGUCAAGCAGAUAUACCAUAGCUCACACUCUGUGAAGAGGUCAGGGGACAACUUAGGAGUCAGUUUUCUCCUUCUCCGUGCCCAGAUGCUGUCUCUCAUUGUUCCCGCUGUCCUGCGUACCCCAGUCUAGCUGGCCGCUGAGCUUCUGGACAACUCCCGUGUCCCCCAUCCGCUCCAAGAGGGCUGAGGUUACAGAUGCAUGCUGCCUCGGUGGCUUUUGAUGGGUUUUGGGGACUGAACUCAGGUGGUCAUUUUUGACCCACCAAACUGUCUCCCUGACUCCUAUCUGAGGAUAUGGUCCAUCUUGGCGGGGAAGCCAGAAACAUGAGGUGGCUGGCCCACAUUGCAGCAACAGUGAGGAAGCAGAGCUAUUGCUCAGAUGUCCCUCUCCUUUGGUUUUUAUUCAGUCUAGGACCAUGGUCCAUGGGACGGGCCUGAACACAGGGUGGGUGCUGAACACAGGGUGGGGCUUUUACCGAAAGUAACUCAGUCUAGGCACUCCCACACAGACACACCUCUGGGUAAUUCUCAUGUCUAUCAGGUUGACACUGAUGAAGAGUUACCACACAGCCACACUCAAGGUUUCAGGCCCAUCUCCGGAACUUUUGGAAGGGACAAGAAGGAAGCUGUCUUUGCUCCAGCCGGCAACCAAUAUCAGCUGAACCCUGGGCUGAGUAGCUUUUGAAGCCUUCCCUCCUUUGGACUCUGAUGGUGUGUGGGAAGAGGACGCAGGGUGUACAGUUCAGUUUUGGACACAGAGCUCUUGUCAUGUGCCCUCAGUCCCUUUCCCUUAGAUGGGAGUUCCCUGGGAGCAAGCUGUGUUCUCCUGGCCCAGGAGCAAGACUGGGAACGUAGUCCCUGCCAUCACUUGCUCCAGCCAUAGAAAGGAACAAUUUCUGUCUGCGCUGUUAGCAUCUUAGAGGAACAUCCUGAUUGUCCUGAGAAGCUGGAUUAGGGACCCCAAGUUACCCUCCUUCCUGUAUCUCUGCCACUCUUUACUCAACUAGGUAUGGGGUGGUCCCAGGGCCGGGCCUGGAGCUGAGAUCAAAAGCCAGCUCCUCUGUGGGCUCUUCUGUUUGUUUCUUUUCCAUGUGGCUGUUCUUAAAAGUGACUGUGUGUGUGUCUGUGUGUGUGCCACACACACACACACUCACCAUAUACCACUCACACACCUAUACACACACACACACACACACACACACACUCACCAUAUACCACUCACACACCUACACACACACACACACACACACACACACACAGGAGACAAGUGUUUGGAUGUUAAAUAGACAGGGAGUAGACCUUCAGUGGCUCCUUUUCAUUGCCCACUAUACUAGACACGGAAUCAACUAGGCUUGUACGAAGGAUGUACA